rnacentral:rRNA from 1 species
UACAGAGGUCUCAAGCGUUGUUCGGAUUCAUUGGGCGUAAAGGGUGCGUAGGUGGCGCUGUAAGUCGGGUGUGAAAUUUCGGAGCUUAACUCCGAAACUGCAUUCGAUACUGCGGUGCUUUGAGGACUGGAGAGGAGACUGGAAUUCAUGGUGUAGCAGUGAAAUGCGUAGAGAUCAUGAGGAAGACCAGUGGCGAAGGCGGGUCUCUGGGCCGAUACUGACGCUGAGGAGCGAAAGCGUGGGGAGCGAACAGGG